rnacentral:sRNA from 1 species
AAUUAGCCCCGAUGGUAAUGGAAAUCCUUUGUUUUUUUGAUUUUUCAGAAAAUAAAGAUUGUAAUGUACAGCGGGACGAGUA